rnacentral:rRNA from 1 species
UCACUUAUAGAGGGAUCCGCGCCCCAUUAGCUAGUUGGUAAGGUAACGGCUUACCAAGGCAACGAUGCGUAGCCGACCUGAGAGGGUGAUUGGCCACACUGGAAAUGAGACACGGUCCAGACUCCUACGGGAGGCAGCACUAGGGAAUCUUCCGCAAUGGGCGAAAGCCUGACGGAGCAACGCCGCGUGAGUGAAGAAGGUCUUCGGAUCGUAAAACUCUGUUAUUAGGGAAGAACAAAUGUGUAAGUAACUAUGCACGUCUUGACGGUACCUAAUCAGAAAGCCACGGCUAACUACGUGCCAGCAGCCGCGGUAAUACGUAGGUGGCAAGCGUUAUCCGGAAUUAUUGGGCGUAAAGCGCGCGUAGGCGGUUUUUUAAGUCUGAUGUGAAAGCCCACGGCUCAACCCUGGAGGGUCAUUGGAAACUGGAAAACUUGAGUGCAGAAGAGGAAAGUGGAAUUCCAUGUGUAGCGGUGAAAUGCGCAGAGAUAUGGAGGAACACCCCUGGCGAAGGGGACUUUUUGGUCUGUAACUGACGCUGAUGUGCGAAAGCGUGGGGAUCAAACAGGAUUAGAUACCCUGGUAGUCCACCCCGUAAACGAUGAGUGCUAAGUGUUAGGGGGUUUCCGCCCCCUUAGUGCUGCAGCUAAGCGCAUUAAGC